AAUCUUGAUGCUCGAUCUUACCGGAGCAUCCGCCCGAGAACUACGAGCACAAACGCUUAAAACUCUAAGGACUUGGCGGUGUUCCAAACCCACCUAGAGGAGCCUGUUCUAUAAUCGAUGAUCCACGAUAUACCUGACCAUUCCUUGCCAGAACAGCCUAUAUACCGCCGUCGCCAGCCCACCCAGCAUGAAGGCCCAACAGUGGACGCAAUAGCCCCGCCGCGCUAAUAAGACAGGUCAAGGUAUAGCCUAUGGAAUGGAAGCAAUGGGCUACAUUUUCUAAAUUAGAACAUACGGCAAAGGGACAUGAAACAGUCCCUGGAAGGCGGAUUUAGCAGUAAAGUGGGACAAUCGAGCCCUCUUUAAGCCGGCCCUGGAGCACGUACAUACCGCCCGUCACCCUCCUCAAAAGCGACCCC
rnacentral:rRNA from 1 species